rnacentral:sRNA from 1 species
CACUGAGGAACGCAGACUAAAUACGCCACGUCCUCCCAAAAGCUACCGCUUUCGGCCGUGCGAUGUAUCGCUGCGGCAGCUUUCCUUAUCCUGCGGCAGCGUCUGCAUGACCCCCAUAAUGAAAG